rnacentral:lncRNA from 1 species
UAAAAAAUUGUCUGCUGUACUAAUAAAUCAUGAUAGAAAUAAUAUAAUAACCAAGUAUAAUCUUUAGAUGUGGAAUAAAAGUAUACUCCAAAAAGAUAAUUACUUGGACCAAUAAUCAACUAACAGACGACAACACAGUAGGGCGUGUGCUAAUCUUCAGUACGCAGAAGAAUCUAACACACUUAUCAGCGGCAGAUAUCAUAUAUGGUGAUGGUACAUUUUACACUUGUCCAAGCCUAUUCUUCCAACUGUUAACUUUUCACGCAAUAGUUGACGGGGCAAUGUAUCCACUCGUGCACAGUUUACAUCCAGCCAAGAGUGAACUAGUAUAUAUACAUAACAAGGUUUCUGACUUUACUUACAGAUAUCUGCCACUAACACCAACUACAACUUCAGCCUACCACUAUCUUCCUGGACUAUGAAGUUGCAAUCCUAAAUGCAGCAUACUC